AUGGAACAAUUUGCAGGCUGUCAGCUGAGAACCAGCCAUUAUCAAUCUAACCUGGAGUUCUGUGGCCAGCUGUCACCAACACUGCAUCUCUCAGGGAUGGGUGUAAAACCACUCCAUUCUACUUGCAUAUAUUUCAACUGCCCAUAUUGCACAGACUGGUGGUGGUAUGAAACAACCAGGUGCAGGGCCGAGCACUUCACAGUCGUUGAACCUCAUGCAAUUGGUCCUGCCUGCCCAGAUCUCUCUGUAGUGUCUUCUCUGGCAGAUCAACGUUCCCACCAAAUCUGGUGUCAUCUGCAACUUACUGAGGGUUCCCUCCACCCCCUUGACCAGAUGAUGUCUUUGAUGAAGAUAUUAAGCAGAACUGGCCCCAGUGUAGGACCUUGGGGAACACCACUUGUAACUGGCAGCUGCUUGGGGUUCCUCAGGCAAGCUGGGAGAUUGUCUCCUGAUUACAGACUACAAGGGAAAUUCUAGCUCUGUGGAAAUCAGUGGAAUCUGGCUAUUGGCUUAAAGGAGCUAGCAGCUGUCUCUUUUAGUUUAGCAGCAAACAAUUUACUUUAAGAUUGUUGUCUACCCAGGGUUUCCUGAAGGUCAUCCUUAUGUCUGUACUCAGUUGACAUUCAGAUCAUGACCUUCCACUUAGUGACCUUGCUACCACCUCUAGAGCCCAUCUACCUGCAUAAAUAAAUCUGUAGGGACAUCUAACA
rnacentral:lncRNA from 1 species